rnacentral:rRNA from 1 species
GACGAACGCUGGCGGCGUGCUUAACACAUGCAAGUCGAACGAAGAGCGAUGGAAGCUUGCUUCUAUCAAUCUUAGUGGCGAACGGGUGAGUAACGCGUAAUCAACCUGCCCUUCAGAGGGGGACAACAGUUGGAAACGACUGCUAAUACCGCAUACGAUCUAAUCUCGGCAUCGAGGAUAGAUGAAAGGUGGCCUCUACAUGUAAGCUAUCACUGAAGGAGGGGAUUGCGUCUGAUUAGCUAGCUGGAGGGGUAACGGCCCACCAAGGCGAUGAUCAGUAGCCGGUCUGAGAGGAUGAACGGCCACAUUGGGACUGAGACACGGCCCAGACUCCUACGGGAGGCAGCAGUGGGGAAUCUUCCGCAAUGGACGAAAGUCUGACGGAGCAACGCCGCGUGAGUGAUGACGGCCUUCGGGUUGUAAAGCUCUGUUAAUCGGGACGAAAGGCCUUCUUGCGAAUAGUGAGAAGGAUUGACGGUACCGGAAUAGAAAGCCACGGCUAACUACGUG